UGGGGAAUAUUGCACAAUGGGCGCAAGCCUGAUGCAGCAACGCCGCGUGAGGGACGACGGCCUUCGGGUUGUAAACCUCUUUUAGUAGGGAAGAAGCGAAAGUGACGGUACCUGCAGAAAAAGCACCGGCUAACUACGUGCCAGCAGCCGCGGUAAUACGUAGGGUGCAAGCGUUGUCCGGAAUUAUUGGGCGUAAAGAGCUCGUAGGCGGUUUGUCGCGUCUGCUGUGAAAAACCCGAGGCUCAACCUCGGGCCUGCAGUGGGUACGGGCAGACUAGAGUGCGGUAGGGGAGAAUGGAAUUCCUGGUGUAGCGGUGGAAUGCGCAGAUAUCAGGAGGAACACCGAUGGCGAAGGCAGUUCUCUGGGCCGUAACUGACGCUGAGGAGCGAAAGCGUGGGGAGCGAACAGGAUUAGAUACCCUGGUAGUCCACGCCGUAAACGUUGGGCGCUAGAUGUGGGGACCAUUCCACGGUUUCCGUGUCGCAGCUAACGCAUUAAGCGCCCCGCCUGGGGAGUACGGCCGCAAGGCUAAAACUCAAAGGAAUUGAC
rnacentral:rRNA from 1 species